rnacentral:rRNA from 1 species
AAGGAAAAGAAACCAACAGGGAUUGCCCUAGUAACGGCGAGUGAAGCGGCAACAGCUCAAAUUUGAAAUCUGGCCCUCGGGUCCGAGUUGUAAUUUGUAGAGGAUGCUUUUGGCGCGGUGCCUUCCGAGUUCCCUGGAACGGGACGCCUUAGAGGGUGAGAGCCCCGUACGGUUGGACACCAAGCCUCUGUAAAGCUCCUUCGACGAGUCGAGUAGCUUGGGAAUGCUGCUCUAAAUGGGAGGUAAAUUUCUUCUAAAGCUAAAUAUUGGCCAGAGACCGAUAGCGCACAAGUAGAGUGAUCGAAAGAUGAAAAGCACUUUGAAAAGAGGGUUAAACAGCACGUGAAAUUGUUGAAAGGGAAGCGUUUGCGACCAGACCUUUUCCUAGCGGAUCAUCCGGUGUUCUCACCGGUGCACUUCGCUAGGUUUAGGCCAGCAUCGGUUUCUGUAGGGGGAUAAAAGCUCUGGGAACGUAGCUCCUCCGGGAGUGUUAUAGCCCUCUGCAUAAUACC